AUUGAAGUGCCUGAAAGAAAAGGAUUGCUUUGAUAGAGCAAAUUAUGUAAAUUUUACCUUCAUUA
rnacentral:tRNA from 1 species